rnacentral:rRNA from 1 species
AUUGAACGCUGGCGGAAUGCUUUACACAUGCAAGUCGAACGGUAACAGGUCUUCGGAUGCUGACGAGUGGCGAACGGGUGAGUAAUAUAUCGGAACGUGCCCAGUCGUGGGGGAUAACGUAGCGAAAGUUACGCUAAUACCGCAUACGAUCUAUGGAUGAAAGCGGGGGAUCGCAAGCCCUCGCGCGAUUGGAGCGGCCGAUAUCAGAUUAGGUAGUGGGUGGGGUAAAGGCUCACCAAGCCAACGAUCUGUAGCUGGUCUGAGAGGACGACCAGCCACACUGGAACUGAGACACGGUCCAGACUCCUACGGGAGGCAGCAGUGGGGAAUUUUGGACAAUGGACGCAAGUCUGAUCCAGCCAUUCCGCGUGCAGGAUGAAGGCCCUCGGGUUGUAAACUGCUUUUGUACGGAACGAAAAGGUCUCUCCUAAUACGAGGGGCUCAUGACGGUACCGUAAGGAUAAGCACCGGCUAACUACGUGCCAGCCGCCGCGGUAACAC